AUACUUACCUGGCAAGGGAGACACCGUGAUCAAGAAGGCGGUUCACCCAGGGCGAGGCUCAGCCAUUGCACUCCAGCUGUGCUGACCCCUGCGAAUUUCCCAAAUGUGGAAAUCUCGAUUGCAUAAUUUCUGGUAGUGGGGGACUGCGUUCGCGCUCUCCCCUG
rnacentral:snRNA from 8 species